GCAAGAUACCACGGGCGCACGGCGGAUGCCUUGGCACAGGGAGCCGAUGAAGGACGCGGCAAGCUGCGAUAAUCCCCGGCGAGGAGCACACAUCCUUCGACCCGGGGGUCUCCGAAUGGGCGAACCCAUCCACAGAGGUGUGGAUAUCCCCACCCCGAACGCAUAGGGGCGGGGAGGACAACCCGGGGAACUGAAACAUCUAAGUACCCGGAGGAGAGGAAAUCAAUCUCGAGACUCCCCGAGUAGCGGCGAGCGAAAGGGGACCGAUGGCCAAACCGUCGAGCGGGCAUACCCGGCAGGGGUUCCGCCGGCGGGGUUGCAGGGCCGCGCAUCCGGGGGCUGCCGCCCCCGGGCGCAGGUCCGGCUGGGGAGCGGAACGGCAUGGGAGGGCCGGCCGCAGCGGGUGACAGCCCCGUACGCGAACCCAGACCGGACGGCGCGACGCGGUCCCUGAGUAGGGCCGGGCACGUGAAACCCGGUCCGAACCUGGGUGGACCACCAUCCAAGCCUGAGUACUACCCUGUGACCGAUAGCGCACCAGUACCGUGAGGGAAAGGUGAAAAGCACCCCGAGAGGGGAGUGAAACAGUACCUGAAACCGUGCGCCCACAAGCAGUCGGAGCAGCCUUUGCGCUGUGACGGCGUGCCUUUUGUAGAAUGAGCCAGCGAGUCGCUGGCGCGGGGCGAGGUUAACCGGAAGGGAGCCGAAGCGAAAGCGAGCCUUAACAGGGCGACUUGAGUCCCGCGCCGCGGACGCGAAGCCGGGUGAGCUAUCCGUGGGCAGGCUGAAGCGGGGGUAAGACCCCGUGGAGGGCCGAACGCACGUCGGUUGAAAACGGCGGCGAUGACCUGCGGAUAGGGGUGAAAGGCCAAUCAAACCCGGAGAUAUCUCGUUCUCCCCGAAAUAGCUUUAGGGCUAGCGUCGCGCGUUCACCGCCGGAGGUAGAGCACCGGAUGGACGAGGGGGCUUCGCCGCCUACCGAAUCCAACCGAACUCCGAAUGCCGGCGGCCCAGAGCGCGGCAGUCAGAGCAUGUGGGCUAAGCUGUGUGCUCGAGAGGGAAACAGCCCGGACCGCCCGCUAAGGUCCCCAAGUUCCAGCCGAGUGGCAAAGGAUGUGCGUCCGCCCAGACAACCAGGAUGUUGGCUUAGAAGCAGCCAUUCAUUCAAAGAGUGCGUAACAGCUCACUGGUCGAGUGGACAUGCGCCGACAAUACACGGGGCUAAGCUGGACACCGAAGCGGCGGGAUUUUGAUUUACAGAAUCGGUAGGGGAGCUUCCCAUGGGCGGGGAAGCCGCCGGGCGACCGGCGGUGGAGCGCAUGGGAGUGAGAAUGCUGGCAUGAGUAGCGAGAGACGAGAGAGUAACUCGUCCGCCGUGAACCCGAGGUUUCCUGGGCAAGGCUAAUCCUCCCAGGGUCAGUCGGGGGCUAAGGCGAGGCCGGUAGGCGUAGCCGACGCGCAGCAGGCAGACAUUCCUGCACCGCGCACGGGGCGCUACCCCCGACGGGGCGACGGAUGGGGGUGGCUCGGCGGGGUUCUGGACGUCCCCGUGAUGGAGCGCGGCCCGCGGACCAGGGAAAUCCGGUCCGCACACAGGGCGAGGCUCCGGACGAAGCACUUAAGCGAAGCGAGUGAGCCCGAGGUCCCUAGAAAAACCCCUAGGCAGGCGCGUGCGCGCCCGUACCGCAAACCGACACAGGUGGGUGGGUAGAACAUACCGAGGCGAUCGGGUCAACCAUGGUCAAGGAACUCGGCACAAUGGCCCCGUAACUUCGGGAGAAGGGGUGCCCGCGCGUACGUGAACCGGCUUGCCCGGGGAGCGGAGGCGGGCCGCAGUGGAGAGGCCCAAGCGACUGUUUACCAAAAACACAGGACUCUGCAGAAGCCGCAAGGCGACGUAUAGGGUCUGACGCCUGCCCGGUGCCGGAAGGUCACGCGGAGGAGUUAGCGCACCGCGCGAAGCCCCGAAGCCAAGCCCCGGUAAACGGCGGCCGUAACUAUAACGGUCCUAAGGUAGCGAAAUUCCUUGUCGGGUAAGUUCCGACCUGC
rnacentral:rRNA from 1 species